rnacentral:rRNA from 1 species
GUGCACCUACGGGGGGCAGCAGUGGGGAAUAUUGCACAAUGGGGGAAACCCUGAUGCAGCGACGCCGCGUGAGUGAAGAAGUAUUUCGGUAUGUAAAGCUCUAUCAGCAGGGAAGAUAAUGACGGUACCUGACUAAGAAGCUCCGGCUAAAUACGUGCAAGCAGCCGCGGUAAUACGUAUGGAGCAAGCGUUAUCCGGAUUUACUGGGUGUAAAGGGAGCGCAGACGGCAAGGCAAGUCUGAUGUGAAAGCACGAGGCUCACCCUC